ACCACCCCUUCCCCUAAAACAUCCGGAUCUCCUCCCAUGUCAUUUAAUGAUGUGUUGCCAUCUCUUGCAUCCAUCAGUGCAGUGGUUCUACUUCUGCUACUGGUUCUACUGGUUCUACUGGUGAAGCCAAGAAUUCACAGGAAAUUUGAGAGUGAGGAAAAUGAAGCUGGAGAGGACAGAAUCAUCUACAGUGAUGUCAGGAUAACUCAGCAUCAUCUAAAGAAACAACAAUUAAAUAAAGGUAGUGAUCCAGCUGCAGUCUACUCAGCUGUGAGGACAGAAGAUGUCAGUUAAAGUCAGAUGUUGAUCAGAGGAAACAGGAACAGAGAGUUUUCACCUGAGCUGGAUGUUGUUUACUCCUCACUGAAGUAAAAGCGCUGAUGUUUAGCUUUGGACCCUCAGCUGGUUCACUCAGACCUUCAGAACAGGACAGAUAUGUAAUUUUAUACUUUUCCUUUUAUUACAAAUCUUGAGUGAAACUCUUAGCACACAAUUUAUUUUCUUUGUGGGGCUCUGAGGACACAGUAAGACAGAUGGACAAUCUGAGUGACUUUGGUUUGGUUGUGGCUAACAAUCAGAAAUCUUCAGCUAAGAUAUAGUCUUAAGUCACAACCCCAGACUAAAGCAGCAGGAGCAUUAAUUAAAAGUCAAUUUUUAUAAAUUUAUUUUUCUCAUCUGAUUUUAAGGAUGCUUGUCUGAGCUGAUUUUCCACAUUAGACGUUGGUGUUGUUGUAUAAGGAAACCUGGUGAUUCCUUUCAAUGACAGAAAUAAAAAAUAAACCUACAAAGAUAUACU